CGAACGCUGGCGGCGCGUUUAAGCAUGCAAGUCGAGCGGCAAGGGCCUUCGGGCCCCUAGAGCGGCGGACGGGUGAGUAACACGUGGACAAUCUGCCCCCCGGCCCGGGAUAGCCCAGGGAAACCUGGAUUAAUACCGGAUGAGACGGGACCCGCGAUGGCGGGAUCCGGGAAAGGCGCGUGCGGCGCCGCCGGGGGAUGAGUCUGCGUCCCAUUAGCUAGACGGCGGGGUAACGGCCCACCGUGGCGACGAUGGGUAGCCGGGCCUGAGAGGGUGGACGGCCACAUUGGAACUGAGACACGGUCCAGACUCCUACGGGAGGCAGGCAGCUAAGAAUCUUCCGCAAUGGGCGAAAGCCUGACGGAGCCGACGCCGCGUGAACGAAGAAGGCCGUGAGGUUGUAAAGUUCUUUUCGGGAGGGGAACAACCGUGGCAGGGAAUGGCCGCGGGAUGACGUGAAUCCCGGAAUAAGCCCCGGCUAACUACGUGCCAGCCGCCGC
rnacentral:rRNA from 1 species